GAUGAACGCUAGCGGCAGGCCUAAUACAUGCAAGUCGAACGGGAUCCAGAUCAAAGCUUGCUUUGGUCUGGUGCGAGUGGCGCACGGGUGCGUAACGCGUGAGCAACUUACCCUUGUCAGGGGGUUAGCCCGGCGAAAGUCGGCUUAAUACCGCUUGACAUUAUUGAGAGGCAUCCUUCGAUGUUCAACGUUUUAUCGUACAAGGAUGGGGUCGCGUGACAUUGGCUAGUUGGUAAGGUAACGGCUUACCAAGGCUGCGAUGUCGGGGUGCGCUGAGAGGAAGACCCCCUAGACCGGUACUGAGACACGGACCAGACUCCGACGGGGGAGAGCAGUAAGUAAUACUAGUCAAGGGACGGUAGUCUAAACCAGCCAUGCCGCGUACAGGAGGACUGCCCUAGGAGAGGUAAACUGCUUGGAUACGGAAACAAACGUCGGUACGUGUACCGGUCUGACGGUACCGUAAGAAUAAGGAUCGGCUAACUCCGUG
rnacentral:rRNA from 1 species